GAUGAACGCUAGCGAUAGGCCUAACACAUGCAAGUCGAGGGGCAGCAUAAGGAAGUAGCAAUACUUUCUGGUGGCGACCGGCGCACGGGUGAGUAACACGUAUGCAACCUGCCUUCAACAAGGGGAUAACCCGUUGAAAGACGGACUAAUACCCUAUAACACAGGGGUCCCGCAUGGGAAUAUUUGUUAAAGGACAACCGGUUGAAGAUGGGCAUGCGUUCCAUUAGCUAGUUGGCGGGAUAACGGCCCACCAAGGCAACGAUGGAUAGGGGAACUGAGAGGUUUAUCCCCCACACUGGUACUGAGACACGGCCCAGACUCCUACGGGAGGCAGCAGUAGGGAAUUUUCGGCAAUGGGGGAAACCCUGACCGAGCAAUGCCGCGUGAACGAUGAAGGUCUUCGGAUUGUAAAGUUCUGUGAUUGGGGAAGAAUGGUAUUCUUAGGGAAUGAGGAGUACAUGACGGUACCCGAUUAGAAAGCCCCGGUAACUAUGUGCCAGCAG
rnacentral:rRNA from 1 species